AUGAACGCUGGCGGCGUGCCUAAUACAUGCAAGUCGAACGCUUCACUUCGGUGAAGAGUGGCGAACGGGUGAGUAAUACAUAAGUAACCUGGCAUCUACAGGGGGAUAACUGAUGGAAACGUCAGCUAAGACCGCAUAGGUGUAGAGAUCGCAUGAACUCUAUAUGAAAAGUGCUACGGGACUGGUAGAUGAUGGACUUAUGGCGCAUUAGCUUGUUGGUAGGGUAACGGCCUACCAAGGCGACGAUGCGUAGCCGACCUGAGAGGGUGACCGGCCACACUGGGACUGAGACACGGCCCAGACUCCUACGGGAGGCAGCAGUAGGGAAUUUUCGGCAAUGGGGGAAACCCUGACCGAGCAACGCCGCGUGAAGGAAGAAGUAAUUCGUUAUGUAAACUUCUGUCAUAGAGGAAGAACGGUGGAUAUAGGGAAUGAUAUCCAAGUGACGGUACUCUAUAAGAAAGCCACGGCUAACUACGUGCCAGCAGCCGCGGUAAUACGUAGGUGGCGAGCGUUAUCCGGAAUUAUUGGGCGUAAAGAGGGAGCAGGCGGCACUAAGGGUCUGUGGUGAAAGAUCGAAGCUUAACUUCGGUAAGCCAUGGAAACCGUAGAGCUAGAGUGUGUGAGAGGAUCGUGGAAUUCCAUGUGUAGCGGUGAAAUGCGUAGAUAUAUGGAGGAACACCAGUGGCGAAGGCGACGAUCUGGCGCAUAACUGACGCUCAGUCCCGAAAGCGUGGGGAGCAAAUAGGAUUAGAUACCCUAGUAGUCCACGCCGUAAACGAUGAGUACUAAGUGUUGGGUGUCAAAGCUCAGUGCUGCAGUUAACGCAAUAAGUACUCCGCCUGAGUAGUACGUUCGCAAGAAUGAAACUCAAAGGAAUUGACGGGGGCCCGCACAAGCGGUGGAGCAUGUGGUUUAAUUCGAAGCAACGCGAAGAACCUUACCAGGUCUUGACAUCGAUCUAAAGGCUCCAGAGAUGGAGAGAUAGCUAUAGAGAAGACAGGUGGUGCAUGGUUGUCGUCAGCUCGUGUCGUGAGAUGUUGGGUUAAGUCCCGCAACGAGCGCAACCCUUACGGUCAGUUGCUACGCAAGAGCACUCUGGCCGGACUGCCGUUGACAAAACGGAGGAAGGCGGGGACGACGUCAAAUCAUCAUGCCCCUUAUGUCCCGGGCUACACACGUAAUACAAUGGCGGUCAACAGAGGGAAGCAAAGCCGCGAGGCAGAGCAAACCCCCAAAAGCCGUCCCAGUUCGGAUUGUAGGCUGCAACUCGCCUGCAUGAAGUCGGAAUCGCUAGUAAUCGCGGAUCAGAAUGCCGCGGUGAAUACGUUCCCGGGCCUUGUACACACCGCCCGUCACACCAUGAGAGUCGGUAACACCCGAAGCCGGUGGCCUAACCGCAAGGAAGGAGCUGUCUAAGGUGGGACUGAUGAUUGGGGUG
rnacentral:rRNA from 1 species